rnacentral:rRNA from 1 species
ACGAGCUGCUACGGCAGCGAAGUGGGUGUCGUCAAGCUUCCAAGAAAAGCCCUAUACCCGUUAAGGCAUGAUGGCCUGUACCCGAAACCGACACAGGUGGGGUGGUAGAGAGUACCGAGGGGCGCGAGAUAACUCUCUCUAAGGAACUCGGCAAAAUGGCCCCGUAACUUCGGGAGAAGGGGUGCCACCGCAAGGUGGUCGCAGUGAAGAGGCCCAGGCGACUGUUUACCAAAAACACAGGUCUCCGCUAAGUCGCAAGACGAUGUAUGGGGGCUGACGCCUGCCCAGUGCCGGAAGGUUAAGGAAGCUGGUCAGCGUAAGCGAAGCUAGCGACUGAAGCCCCGGUGAACGGCGGCCGUAACGAUAACGGUCCUGAGGUAGCGAAAUUCCUUGUCGGGUAAGUUCCGACCCGCACGAAAGGCGUAACGAUCUGGGCGCUGUCUCGGAGAGAGGCUCGGCGAAAUAGAAUUGUCUGUGAAGAUGCGGACUACGUGCACCCGGACAGAAAGACCCUAUGAAGCUUUACUGUAGCUUGGUAUUGUGCUCGGGCUCGGAAUGCGCAGGAUAGGUGGGAGGCUAUGAACCAUUGCUUGUGGGUGGUGGUGAGCCACUGGUGAGAUACCACUCUUUCCGAGCUAGAGUUCUAACAGCCACCCGUUAUCCGGGGGCUGGACAGUAUCAGGUGGGCAGUUUGACUGGGGCGGUCGCCUCCUAAAAGGUAACGGAGGCGCGCAAAGGUUUGCUCAGGCUGGUUGGAAAUCAGCCGACGAGUGUAAAAGCAGAAGCAAGCUUGACUGUGAGACCUACAAGUCGAACAGGGAGGAAACUCGGCUUUAGUGAUCCGACGGUUCUGCGUGGAAGGGCCGUCGCUCAACGGAUAAAAGUUACUCUAAGGAUAACAGGCUGAUCUCCCCCAAGAGUUCACAUCGACGGGGAGGUUUGGCACCUCGAUGUCGGCUCAUCGCAACCUGGGGCUGAAGUCGGUCCCAAGGGUUGGGCUGUUCGCCCAUUAAAGCGGUACGCGAGCUGGGUUCAGAACGUCGUGAGACAGUUCGGUCCAUAUCCGGUGCAUGCGCAGGAAUAUUGAGAGGAUUUCUCCCUAGUACGAGAGGACCGGGAGGAACGCACCUCUGGUGUACCAGUUAUCGUGCCAACGGUAAACGCUGGGUAGCCAUGUGCGGAGAGGAUAACCGCUGAAAGCAUCUAAGUGGGAAGCCCACCUCAAGAUGAGUAUUCCCAUGGGUUAACCCAGUAAGGUCACGGGAAGAACACCCGUUGAUAGGCUCUACGUGGAAGCGCAGUAAUGUGUGAAGCGGAGGAGUACUAAUAGACCGAGGGCUUU